UACAGAGGUCUCAAGCGUUGUUCGGAUUCAUUGGGCGUAAAGGGUGCGUAGGUGGCGGGGUAAGUCAGGUGUGAAAUCUCGAGGCUCAACCUCGAAACUGCACUUGAUACUGCCUUGCUCGAGUACUGGAGAGGAGAUUGGAAUUUACGGUGUAGCAGUGAAAUGCGUAGAUAUCGUAAGGAAGACCAGUGGCGAAGGCGAAUCUCUGGACAGUUACUGACACUGAGGCA
rnacentral:rRNA from 1 species